UUUUGUGUAUGUUUGAUCUCUUCCAGAAGAGUCUUCAAGAGGUAGGAGCGGGAUGUGUAGCCUGUCCUUCAGUGAUAGACACACAGACCGACCAAUCAGCAAACAGACUGAGAGGGACAAGGAAGCCACCGACCCAGCUCUUCUGCUCCCUCCCACAGCACGGGUUGCUCGAGAGAACAAUCACGCAAGACUUUGUGAAGACGAUCUACUUCUCACCAUUCGGGGAUGGAGUCUAGCAGGAACCAUCAGGAUGGAUGAAGAUGAACCCAGUAAGAGAGACGACCCUGGAACACUUGAGGUUAUUGAUCUAGGACGUGUGUAAACACAAACCUGUUGUUACUUAAGCAGAGUGGGUCUGCCCUGUAGAGCUGGAGGGCACAAGCUGCACCCUUUACAAGUGGGUUAGAACCCAGGCCGAGAGAGUGUGGUAAUAACUCACCUAUAUUGUUUUAUUACAUUUUUAUCUAACAAGCAAAUGUUGGUGAUAACACUAUUGUUUUAUCAAUGCAAAAAGAUUCAACAAUAAUACACAGUGAUUAUUUAUUGGACUUUUACGUAAU